CACAAUGUUAAAGGCCUCUGUAUCUGUGAUCUCUGGAGACUCUCAAAUUUCAUUAAAACCUGUCCAUAAUGAUUACACAAAAGAUCCCUGUGAAGUUCAUAAACAAGCAGAGUAAGGGGAUGCAUUAAAACUUUGAUUGAAGUUGCAACCAAAUCUUUUUGAGUAACCAGCUUCCUACCCUGAAGACAGGUGAAAAAUCCUCUAUUUCAGCAUUUUUCUUCUAGGGAAAAAAAGUCAAGUUGGAAAGCCUUAAGGAGAAAUGAAAGCUGGACUAACACAAAGAAGCACCUUGAUGAAACCUCAAAUAUCUCAGGAUCUUCACUUGUAAGCUGAAAAGAGAAAAAGGACAGCCAAGUUUAACUUUCAGGGAGGAUCCUGACCUUCAGAUUCCUUAAGAAAUGCACUUUUCAAUUGAUUGGGGUAGGGUGGAAAGCAGAGAGAAAGCAAUGUGAAAAUGGGGAAAAAGCCAAGAAGAAUUAGAGGAAAGCAUUUUUUAAUAUUUUAAAAUACAUGAGA